UUCUCUUCUGUUUUUUGUAUUCAACAGCUUAGCAAAGAUUUUGGUUUGAAAUCCUUUCAUUUAAUUAGCCGGCCCUGUAUUUUUUCUAUAAUUUGUGUUGUUCUGAUUACCUUUAUCAAUCUGUAUGUAUUCAUCCACUUUUGAGUAGGCACAAUCAGCUAAUCAUAUAGAAAUGCUCUAAAUCUGAACUAGGUGUGCGGGGCUUUCUCAAGUGGAUGCGAUUGUAAAACGUGUUCGUUACUAUCCUGAUGGCACAAAGAAGCGUGGAUCAAAAGUCAAAGAUAAAAGGCGUGAUGAGGAUUACCAGUUGGCUCUAGCUUUGGUGGACAUGUAUAACGACCAUCAUAAUCUUUUUGGGGAUCUUGCAUAUGAGGUCAAAGAUUUUCUGCAUGGCAAGCCGCUCUGGGAGGAUUAUUAUAUCCAUUUGGACGUACUUUCAUAUGAAUUUCACUGCAAAGACCAAAGGAUCUUAUGGUGUUGACACUGGCAACCUAUUCUUUGCUGAAGUUGCAUAUACGCGAGGAGAUGGUGGAUUAACGGUGAACAGUUGCUGUAUACUUGAACCUUCUGAUCAUGGCCUCUGCCAUGGUUGUUGUGGUGAUGUGAAGCACCCCAACGAUGGUAAUGCAUAUGCUUGUGGUCGGCGGAACAUCUCGUAUCGUUUUCAGAACGGUGCACCUGAUCUACCUCUGGACUAUUUCGUGGACCGCUAUUAC